UACGGAGGAUGCACGCGUUAUCCGGAUUUAUUGGGCGUAAAGCGUCCGCAGGUGGCUAUACAAGUCUGCUGUUAAAGCGUGGGGCUUAACUCCAUACAGGCAGUGGAAACUGUAAAGCUAGAGUCUGGUAGGGGUCACGGGAAUUCCCAGUGUAGCGGUGAAAUGCGUAGAUAUUGGGAAGAACACCAGCGGCGAAAGCGCGUGACUGGGCCGGAACUGACACUCAUGGACGAAAGCUAGGGGAGCGAAAGGG
rnacentral:rRNA from 1 species